UACGGAGGGUGCGAGCGUUGUCCGGAAUCAUUGGGCGUAAAGGGCGCGUAGGUGGCGGGACAAGCGUGCGGUGAAAGCCUGGGGCUCAACCCCGGGUCGGCCGUGCGAACUGUUUUGCUUGAGCACUGUAGAGGCAGGCGGAAUUCCGGGUGUAGCGGUGGAAUGCGUAGAGAUCCGGAAGAACACCGGUGGCGAAGGCGGCCUGCUGGGCAGUAGCUGACACUGAGGCGCGACAGCGUGGGGAGCGAACGGG
rnacentral:rRNA from 1 species